rnacentral:rRNA from 1 species
ACCGCAUACGCCCCGAGGGGGAAAGCAGGGGAUCGCAAGACCUUUGCGUUAUUCGAGCGGCCGACGUCUGAUUAGCUAGUUGGUGGGGUAAAGGCCUACCAAGGCGACGAUCAGUAGCGGGUCUGAGAGGAUGAUCCGUCACACUGGGACUGAGACACGGCCCACACUCCUACGGGAGGCAGCAGUGGGGAAUUUUGGACAAUGGGGCAACCCUGAUCCAGCCAUUCCGCGUGAGUGAAGAAGGCCUUCGGGUUGUAAAGAUCUUUCAGCCGGAACGAAACGGUACGCACUAAUAUUGUGUGCUAAUGACGGUACCGGCAGAAGAAGCACCGGCUAACUACGUGCCAGCAGCCGCGGUAAUACGUAGGGUGCGAGCGUUAAUCGGAAUUACUGGGCGUAAAGCGUGCGCAGGCGGAUUAUUAAGCAAGACGUGAAAGCCCCGGGCUUAACCUGGGAAUGGCGUUUUGAACUGGUAGUCUAGAGUAGUGUCAGAGGGGGGUGGAAUUCCACGUGUAGCAGUGAAAUGCGUAGAUAUGUGGAGGAACACCAAUGGCGAAGGCAGCCCCCUGGGAUAACACUGACGCUCAUGUACGAAAGCGUGGGUAGCAAACAGGAUUAGAUACCCUGGUAGUCCACGCCCUAAACGAUGUCAACUGGUUGUUGGGGGAGUGAAAUCCCUUAGUAACGAAGCUAACGCGUGAAGUUGACCGCCUGGGGAGUACGGUCGCAGAUAAAAACUCAAAGGAAUUGACGGGGACCCGCACAAGCGGUGGAUGAUGUGGAUUAAUUCGAUGCAACGCGAAAAACCUUACCUACCCUUGACAUGUCCAGAAUCCUGCAGAGAUGCGGGAGUGCCCGAAAGGGAAUUGGAACACAGGUGCUGCAUGGCUGUCGUCAGCUCGUGUCGUGAGAUGUUGGGUUAAGUCCCGCAACCGAGCGCAACCCUUAUCAUUAGUUGCUACGCAAGGGCACUCAAUGAGACUGCCGGUGACAAACCGGAGGAAGGUGGGGAUGACGUCAAGUCCUCAUGGCCCUUAUGGGUAGGGCUUCACACGUCAUACAAUGGUCGGUACAGAGGGUUGCCAAGCCGCGAGGUGGACCAAUCCCAGAAAGCCGAUCGUAGUCCGGAUUGUUCUCUGCAACUCGAGAGCAUGAAGUCGGAAUCGCUAGUAAUCGCGGAUCAGAAUGCCGCGGUGAAUACGUUCC